CUGCAGUCGAGCGGACGUUUUUGAAGCUUGCUUCAAAAACGUUAGCGGCGGACGGGUGAGUAACACGUGGGCAACCUACCUUAUCGACUGGGAUAACUCCGGGAAACCGGGGCUAAUACCGGAUAACAUCUAGCACCUCCUGGUGCCGGAUUAAAAGAGGGCUUCUUGCUCUCACGAUGAGAUGGGCCCGCGGCGCAUUAGCUAGUUGGAGAGGUAACGGCUCCCCAAGGCGACGAUGCGUAGCCGACCUGAGAGGGUGAUCGGCCACACUGGGACUGAGACACGGCCCAGACUCCUACGGGAGGCAGCAGUAGGGAAUCUUCCGCAAUGGACGAAAGUCUGACGGAGCAACGCCGCGUGAGUGAUGAAGGGUUUCGGCUCGUAAAGCUCUGUUAUGAGGGAAGAACACGUACCGUUCGAAUAGGGCGGUACCUUGACGGUACCUCAUCAGAAAGCCACGGCUAACUACGUGCCAGCAGCCGCGGUAAUACGUAGGUGGCAAGCGUUGUCCGGAAUUAUUGGGCGUAAAGCGCGCGCAGGCGGCCUUUUAAGUCUGAUGUGAAAUCUUGCGGCUCAACCGCAAGCGGCCAUUGGAAACUGGGAGGCUUGAGUACAGAAGAGGAGAGUGGAAUUCCACGUGUAGCGGUGAAAUGCGUAGAUAUGUGGAGGAACACCAGUGGCGAAGGCGACUCUCUGGUCUGUAACUGACGCUGAGGCGCGAAAGCGUGGGGAGCAAACAGGAUUAGAUACCCUGGUAGUCCACGCCGUAAACGAUGAGUGCUAGGUGUUAGGGGUUUCGAUGCCCGUAGUGCCGAAGUUAACACAUUAAGCACUCCGCCUGGGGAGUACGGCCGCAAGGCUGAAACUCAAAGGAAUUGACGGGGGCCCGCACAAGCAGUGGAGCAUGUGGUUUAAUUCGAAGCAACGCGAAGAACCUUACCAGGUCUUGACAUCCUUUGACCACUCUGGAGACAGAGCUUCCCCUUCGGGGGCAAAGUGA
rnacentral:rRNA from 1 species